rnacentral:rRNA from 1 species
CCUACGGGAGGCAGCAGUGGGGCAUAUUGCACAAUGGGGGAAACCCUGAUGCAGCGACGCCGCGUGAGUGAAGAAGUAAUUCGUUAUGUAAAGCUCUAUCAGCAGGGAAGAAAAUGACGGUACCUGAGUAAGAAGCCCCGGCUAACUACGUGCCAGCAGCCGCGGUAAUACGUAGGGGGCAAGCGUUAUCCGGAUUUACUGGGUGGAAAGGGAGCGUAGACGGCAGUGCAAGGCUGGAGUGAAAGGCGGGGGCUCAAACCCCGGACUGCUCUGGAAACUGUACGGCUGGAGUGCAGGAGAGGUAAGUGGAAUUCCUAGUGGAGCGGUGAAAUGCGUAGAUAUUAGGAGGAACACCAGUGGCGAAGGCGGCUUACUGGACUGUAACUGACGCUGAGGCUCGAAAGCGUGGGGAGCAAACAGGAUUAGAUACCCCAGUAGUC